GAGGGUUGGAUUUUGUGGAUGGUAAGCAUCUGGGUUAUUUUCACAAUUGGUAUUUUGGACAAGUGGAGGGGAAGAGACGGACGAUAUGUUAUUUGGCUAAUCCCCGAGAAUAGGCGUACUGAGGGGAGGGAUUUGGAGUGGAGUCUCGUGUCCUCCUGGAGCGGAAGCAUUGACAGUGAUGGCCAGGUUAGACAAAUCUCGAGUACGAUUUAUUUCCUCCUGAAGCAUUUCUAGCUUUCUUGCGAGUUCCGCAAUCAUCUCACUCUGUUCCGCUAUUACAUUGUCCCUGAUGGUCAAUGUAUUUUCUUCGUCAUUUCCGGUCAUUAUUGAAUGAUGGAGGAUGGGAUUUUGUGCGCUUUUGAUCGGGUGAAGUAAGGAUGUUCUGUCAGCUUAUUUCAACACGGAGUAGUUUUCUA
rnacentral:lncRNA from 1 species